rnacentral:rRNA from 1 species
CUUAAGCAUAUCAAUAAGCGGAGGAAAAGAAACCAACAGGGAUUGCCCUAGUAACGGCGAGUGAAGCGGCAACAGCUCAAAUUUGAAAUCUGGCGCAAGCCCGAGUUGUAAUUUGUAGAGGAUGCUUCUGGGCAGCGGCCGGUCUAAGUUCCUUGGAACAGGACGUCACAGAGGGUGAGAAUCCCGUACGUGACCGGCGCGCACCCUCCACGUAGCUCCUUCGACGAGUCGAGUUGUUUGGGAAUGCAGCUCUAAAUGGGAGGUAAAUUUCUUCUAAAGCUAAAUACCGGCCAGAGACCGAUAGCGCACAAGUAGAGUGAUCGAAAGAUGAAAAGCACUUUGGAAAGAGAGUUAAAAAGCACGUGAAAUUGUUGAAAGGGAAGCGCUUGCAACCAGACUCCGCGGCGGUGUUCCGCCGGUCUUCUGACCGGUCCACUCGCCGCCGCGGGGCCAACAUCGUCUGGGGCCGCCGGAUAAGACCGCAGGAAUGUGGCUCCCUCGGGAGUGUUAUAGCCUGCGGUGAUGCGGCGCGCCUCGGGCGAGGUCCGCGCUUCGGCAAGGAUGUUGGCGUAAUGGUUGCCAGCGGCCCGUCUUGAAACACGGACCAAGGAGUCUAACAUCUAUGCGAGUGUUCGGGUGUCAAACCCCUACGCGUAAUGAAAGUGAACGGAGGUGGGAGCUUCGGCGCACCAUCGACCGAUCCUGAUGUCCUCGGAUGGAUUUGAGUAAGAGCAUAGCUGUUGGGACCCGAAAGAUGGUGAACUAUGCCUGAAUAGGGUGAAGCCAGAGGAAACUCUGGUGGAGGCUCGCAGCGGUUCUGACGUGCAAAUCGAUCGUCAAAUUUGGGUAUAGGGGCGAA